GUGGCACUCAAAGUUAUACAUUAAAAGUGAGAGCCAACAAAGGUUGAACAUUUCUUGCUGUCAUAAUGAUUUAAAAUGCAAUGAUCAUAUUUUUCUGAACAAAAUAUUGGGACAAAUUGUCUCAUACAUCGUGUGGCAAUGGGAGCAAUGUUGGCAAUGAGGGAUGUCUAAGAAACAGCUCAUGAGUAGCACUGGUUUCUCCUAACAGGAGAAGAAAGAAGAGAUGAUUGUAAGCUCUGAUGCAACUUUCAGGAAGAAUUAUUUAGAAAAACAGGCAGGUGAUUUUCAGGUGAAGGAAGAGCAAUCCCAUGACAAGUGGCCAGGGCCUCAGCCUCCCAGGUGAACAGUUUAUCCACAAACCAAGGGAAGUAUGAGCAAAAUGAGAUUUCUUUUGGUACCUUAAACUGCAGGCAAGCUGACCAUGCAAUCAUGUCACAACGGCAGAAGUUUGCUAGAAUAAAACCUUGGUUACCUGGA
ensembl:lncRNA